rnacentral:tRNA from 1 species
UGGCUCAGUGGUUAAGAGCACUGAACUGCUCUUCCAGAGGUUCUGAGUUCAAUUCCCAG